rnacentral:rRNA from 1 species
UCGAGGAUCUUCGGCAAUGGGCGCAAGCCUGACCGAGCGACGCCGCGUGCGCGAUGAAGGCCUUCGGGUUGUAAAGCGCUGUCGUGGAGGAGGAAGCCCCGCAAGGGGUUGACCUAUUCCAGGAGGAAGCACGGGCUAAGUUCGUGCCAGCAGCCGCGGUAAGACGAACCGUGCAAACGUUGUUCGGAAUCACUGGGCUUAAAGGGCGCGUAGGCGGGAGACCAAGUCCGGGGUGAAAUCUUUCGGCUUAACCGGAAAAGGGCCUUGGAUACUGGUUUUCUGGAGGGAGGUAGGGGUCUGUGGAACUUCUGGUGGAGCGGUGAAAUGCGUUGAUAUCAGAAGGAACGCCGGUGGCGAAAGCGACGGACUGGACCUCUUCUGACGCUGAGGCGCGAAAGCCAGGGGAGCAAACGG